rnacentral:rRNA from 1 species
CGUAGGAGGCGAGCGUUAUCCGGAUUCACUGGGCGUAAAGCGCGUGCAGGCGGUUUGGUAAGUUGAUCGUGAAAGCUCCCGGCUCAACUGGGAGAGGUCGGUCAAUACUACCGAACUAGAGAGCAGAAGAGGAAGAUGGAAUUCCCGGUGUAGUGGUGAAAUGCGUAGAUAUCGGGAGGUACACCAGUGGCGAAGGCGAUCUUCUGGUCUGUUUCUGACGCUCAGACGCGACAGCUAGGGUAGUAAACGGGAUUAGAGACCCCGGUAAUCCUAGCCGUAAACGAUGUGAACUUGGCGUCGGUGGCUUAAACACCAUCGGUGCCGAAGCAAACGCGAUAAGUUCACCGCCUGGGGACUACGGCCGCAAGGUU